rnacentral:rRNA from 1 species
GCGAACGCUGGCGGCGUGCUUAAUACAUGCAAGUCGAACGUGAAGGUCCCUUCGGGGAUAAGUAAAGUGGCGUACGGGUGAGUAACACGUGGGAAUCUACCUUAAAGUCUGGAAUAACCUGCCGAAAGGCGGGCUAAUACCGGAUAGCUCGAUUUCGGGAAAGGGAGCUCGCAAGAGCCCUCGCUUUAAGAUGAGCCCGCGUCCCAUUAGCCAGUUGGUAGGGUAAUGGCCUACCAAAGCUAUGAUGGGUAGUUGGUCUAAGAGGAUGAUCAGCCACACUGGCACUGAAACACGGGCCAGACUCCUACGGGAGGCAGCAGUAGGGAAUAUUGCGCAAUGGACGAAAGUCUGACGCAGCAACGCCGCGUGAGUGAAGAAGACCUGAGGGUUGUAAAGCUCUGUCAAGAGGGACGAAAAUGCUUAAGGUUAAUAGCCUUAGGAACUGACGGUACCUUUGAAGGAAGCACCGGCUAACUCCGU